CGGCAGAGUUAUUUGUCCGAUUUGAAUAGAAAAAAGAUUUUUAAGAAUAUAUCUGUCGAAUGAGGUAGCAGAUUUGUUAUAAAUGGUAGAUUUUUGUGGUCAAUUUAUUUUUUUUAUGUACAGACUUAUUUCUUUAUGGUCGACUUAUUUUCUCAUGGCAUAGUUAUAUAUCCGAUUUAAAAUUGUUGGUAGAUUUUUUGUUUAAUGUAGUGACAGAUUUUUUAUUUAUGUUGUGGUGGAUUUAUUGACG
rnacentral:lncRNA from 1 species